CUUCCCCGCGUUGGCGCUCCUCCGAACCCGGGCCCUCUGUCCCUCUCUGUCCUUACCUCGGGCUGGGCCCGCGGCCGGGAGGAGCUUCCACAUGGGCCCUGCUGCCGGCCGACGCGACCGGCGCCAGCCCGCCUGCCAGCCGCCCGAGCUGCGGGGCGAGCGCUCCCGGGCCGCGCGAGCCUCUGUGCUGCCGGCGGGAUGCAGCGGGCGUGCGGCCAGGGCGCGGGGCCGCCACCUGCUGGGGAGCCAGGAACAGCGCUGUCUACAAGUUCACCAGCCAGGACACCUCCGACUACUUGAGAACACACGUGUGAUGGUGCAAUUUCUGCUUUUCUGAAAGAACUCGGAGGAGACCUGAUAGAGGAGCUUGGGGAACAUCUCCGUCAGGACACAGUCCCUGCAGGUCAAUGAAAUCUACCACGAUGAGUCUUUGGGGGCCCACAUCAACGUGGUGCUGGUGCGGAUCAUCCUGCUGAGCUGUGGGAAGGUGAGUGAAUACCCGGAGCAUGAAUGC